GCAGGAGUCAGAACAUGAGGGCAAUCGUGAUGGGAUUGGGAUCUGCCAUUGCCUCAGAGCCCAAGUGGCUCUUAUUCCUUUGAACAUCCUGAGAAUUAUCACGGGAUACAGUUUUUUUAGAACAUGAUUGAAUUGCAAGAUGGCCGUGUGCCCACAGUGCCAGGAUUUGGAGAGGGAAAGGAAGAGCUUGGACAGAAAAUGACCUGGAAAAUCAAACAGGUCGAGGAUUUUUUGCUGGAUGGGGCUAUGAAAAUCUGGUUUUGGGGAGCUGAGCACCCACCCUCGCUGCUGUGCUCUCUGACUGAUCCGAGGAAUGGGAAGAUUUUGGUUGAGUUCUCGUGAGCUGUGAGACCAUGAGCAGUCUGACUGCAUAAAAUUAACAACCCACAUGCUCAGGCAUUUCCAUGGAGAAGGGGAUUUGUAUCAUGGAGAUAACAUUGUGAAACAGAGACAUGAGGUGCUGCAAUAGCACUUUAUGAGGAUCCAUGUGGGAUGUAAACCUCUCUCCUGGCUGACAGAUCCAAUUUAAAGAGUGCCAAUAAAACUGGUGCACCCAACACCCCACACCUGUUGGUCCUGCCUGGGAUUUUGAAGCAACUCUAAGAAUGUCAGGCUCUCAUCUCCAGUGUAAUGGAAUAGACAAAAAAUGCUCAACAUACUCAAAGUCACAGCAGCAAGGGCUACAAAAUCCCCUAGCUUUUCCAGGGAAGCAUGCAAUAGAAUUGGGUUUGACCACUGUAAUUCAAAAUAACUUUUUGCCUUCUCUAUUCCUGUUGGAAAACCUUUCUCCUGCCAAAAGAUGUUAUUUACAUGUAUUCUUUUAAUAAGCUGAAUUUAUUUAUAGCCUGUUCAUGUUGGCACCAACCUUUCCUAGCGAUUUCAAGUAGUUUUAUCCAAGUCUUCAUUCAUUUUACUGCUAAAUAAGUGACUUUGUUUCUUUCUCAUCACUUAAGUGAGGUUGGACUUUUUCCUGAGUAUUCCAUAUUUUGAUGAAUUUUCCUCCUGCCUGUGAAUAGAGUGCAGCACUAGGCAGUCCCAACAUGGUGCUUGUAGAAGAGUGGGAAUAUUCUCCUAUUUAUAAUGAGAAUAUUAUUUCUUCCCCAUCAGAAGAUGUUCCCACCAUUUGUGUUCAUGGGGCUGUUGCAUCAGUGAUUUAUGUUCAGCAUAUCAUGAAAUCUUUGCCUUCUUCUUCCAUUUCCAAAACCAGCCUCAAAAGUAGCAAUUAUUCACUCCUCAGUUCCUGAACUUGCAGUUUUGUGUUGCUAAAUGUUAUCCUACUUCUGUCAUUGAAAUCCCCAGAUCAUUUCAUUUACCUGUCGUCUGAUAUUCCUUGGAGUCGGCACUGCCUUCCAAAUUCAUGUCAGGAAAAACAACGUAAUUGGUGUCCUCACAUCCUCUGUCAAAUUAAUUAUCAAAAUUGUUAAAUAAGAUCAGUUCUGACACCUGAGCAAUGUAGGAUUAACAGCGAUUUGUCCAAAGUCACUUUGGAGUUCCGUGAAGGAAAAGGUCUAAAUCCCAGUGUGUUCUCCAGAGGAACAUCCAUUUUCUGCCUAAAGGGAAAUAUGUACUCGGAAAUUUUAGGCUGGGAAAAGUAGUUUACUUCUAGCAAAGACAGAACCUGCUUCAACAAAAUAUUUGCAGGAAAAGAAACUUCUUUUUUGCAUUAUUGGAGAAGCUGGUUGGGAAUGGUCCUCAUUCAUAUGGGAUGCAGGAAUCCCAAAUCCAAGCUGCUGGCCUUAAAAAGGCACAGUAACCAUCUACAAGGAGAUUCUUUCCCUGGGAAUAUCCCAUUCACCCAUUCACUGGGUUUCUUGUUGAUGCAGAUUAGAAACAUUAUUAAAAUGAAGGAAAUUUUCAUUUAGGAGGACACAAUUUUCUAUCCAAAAUAGCCACAGGCUGGAAUUCCUGCCACAGAAAACAAACUGCCAGACCAAAAUGUGAGAGGAAGAGACAUACCCUGGCAUGAACGUGUGGGCAUGGAGAGGUGCUGGCUUUGGCUCUGGAAAAGGGCCCAGCUGGGCAGGAGAUGUCACAGGAGGACAAGCAGCAACCUGGCAGCUUCCUUACCUGGUUGCAUUGGGAUAUCACCAGGAAAACAAUUGGAAUUAGUCCUUGGGAUUAACGUUCAGCUGCAGCAGGUGAUUUAAACGUGUUGCACGAACUGUUGGUUACACCAAGAUACGUUGAAGAAUGAAGGCCAAAUGUGCAGCAUGAUCAGUUCAUGGAGCUGUAGGCGGGUAUCCUGGACAGUUUUCAUGAAGGUUGUAUUUAAAUAAUCUAAUUUUCCCAUGGAGUGAAUGAAUGCCAAACUUCAGUCCACUGUCAUGAAGCUUCUUAGAAGUUAUAUUUGAGUACUUAGUGAAUUCAAGUGAGCCAAAGAGGACCUUUACAAGGAAGCUGAUCAUCUGAGCAUUCUGCUCUGUUUUUGCUCGUUCCUGUUUGUUUUUUCAGUCUGAAGCAUUAAACACCGGCGCUCCAGCAAAUGUACUUUUGGAAGCAUCAAUCCAGCACAAAAGAACACCACUGAUUACAAAUCUCUUCAAGUGCAGGCAAAUGUCUCUUCAUCUCCCAAUCCCUCUGUAAGUGAUUCUUUAAGAGAGAUUUGCUGAUUCCUCGUUGUGGCUGCUCUCAUGACAGACUGGAAAUACCUAUUUUCCUACUGACUGCUUUUUCUACAGGGGGAAAAAAAAAUUUGUAGGGGAAACACCAAACCCAAGCAUAUGUUAUUUGUAUUUAUUUAGAUUUUAAAGUACACCAAAAAAUGUGCGUUUGGCAUCCCCAUCACCUCUGGCAAAAGUUUAAAGAAACAAGAAAUCAAAGCAGCGCAAAUUAAAUCCUGCAGCCACUUCCCUUUGCCUGAAGAAGCUGCCUUAAAAAAUUUCCAGUGCUUUUCUAGGUAGUCCUGUAUGUAGAGAUUGCCAGCUACUGAUUUUAUAGUGCUCCUAAGCACUCGUUUUUAGGGGAUGGGUUCAAAGUGAACAAAGUACAGACAGAGCUCUAUUAAAUCUCUUAUAUUAAGGGGUAUUUAAUGAUUUGAACAGCAGCAGCCCCUGAGGCUGGGCAGCCUCAGGACCCCCUUGUGCUGCUGACUCUAAAGAGAGGCCCUGAAAAUUGGCAGGCAAAGGAACCCAGGAGAUCCUCAGGAAGUUUAUCCCAACCCAGGGAUGGGACAUCAGCAGGAGGAGUGGGAUUGGGAAUGUCUGAAUGGAGGCAGAGCUUUUAGAACAGCCUUUCUCAUCAGAUGAUGAUGUUAUACAGCAGUAGAGUUAUUCUGCCUUUAAAGCCACUAAAAUCCAUGAAAAAUUUUGUGUGCCUUUAAAAAUGAUGCUGGGCUGCUUAUCCUGUAAUGAUGUGGAAGAGAAACUUGUGCUCUAAAUCUUGAAGCAAUCAACAAUUUGGAAAUAAAUUCAAACCUGAGUCGCUCUUCCACAGCUGAAAAAAACCUGCUUAGGUUUUGCUCUGGGUGGUGGAGGUUGGUUGCCUUCAGCAGGAAAGGGAAUGCAAUCUGCACAAUUCCCAUUAGUCCUUCCUCCUGCAAAGAGAUCCCAAUAAUAAUUCCGUGGUGUGUUAGUUUGGGGCCGAUCAUCUUUAUCUUGAGCUGCUGUGGCAGCAUUGGGAAAAGUGGGAUGGGGUUUAGAAAUUCCUGCUGGGUGAUUUAUCCCUAGAGCACCUUCCUUUUUAAGAGAAUUAUGUUCACCAGUCCCUCAGUUUGGGUCAUGGAGAACACUCAUCCCGUGACACUGAUCCCAUGAUGCUGAUGUGGUGGAUUUAUCGGUGGUUUGUUACCACUGAUGGCUUUUUGUUGCUGUUUUGGUUUGCUUUUUAUUUUAUGGAAAUAUGGGCCAGAGAAAGAAGAUAUUUAAAUACAUGAAUUAUAAUAUACAUGAUAUAAAAUACAUACUAUAAAUAUAAUAAUAAUAAUAUAAAGGAUUAUUGAUUCACAAAAUCCUAAAUGGUUUGGGUUGGAAGGCACCAUAAAGCUCAUCUUGUCCCACCCCUGCCAAGGGCAGGGACAACUUCCAC